rnacentral:rRNA from 1 species
CGGGUCGCGCGGAUCUUCAGAGAUUAGAGUUUGAUCAUGGCUCAGAUUGAACGCUGGCGGCAUGCCUCAGACAUGCAAGUCGAACGAUUAAAGCUCCCUUCGGGGAGUGCAUAAAGUGGCGCACGGGUGAGUAACACGUAAGUAAUCUACCCUCGAGUGGGGAAUAACAGUCGGAAACGACUGCUAAUACCGCAUAAUGCAGCGGCACCUUAUGGUGACAGUUGUUAAAGGAGCAAUCCGCUUGAGGAGGAGCUUGCGGCAGAUUAGCUUGUUGGUAAGGUAACGGCUUACCAAGGCUACGAUCUGUAUCCGGCCUGAGAGGGCGGUCGGACACACUGACACUGAAUAACGGGUCAGACUCCUACGGGAGGCAGCAGUCGGGAAUUUUGGGCAAUGGGCGAAAGCCUGACCCAGCAACGCCGCGUGAAGGAUGAAGUAUUUCGGUAUGUAAACUUCGAAAGAAUGGGAAGAAUAAAUGACGGUACCAUUUAUAAGCUCCGGCUAACUACGUGCCAGCAGCCGCGGUAAUACGUAGGGAGCAAGCGUUGUUCGGAUUUACUGGGCGUAAAGGGCGCGUAGGCGGCGUGUUAAGUCAGCUGUGAAAUCUCUGAGCUCAACUCAGAACGGCCAGCUGAUACUGAUGUGCUAGAGUGCAGAAGGGGCAACCGGAAUUCUUGGUGUAGCGGUGAAAUGCGUAGAUAUCAAGAGGAACACCUGAGGCGAAGGCGGGUUGCUGGGCUGACACUGACGCUGAGGCGCGAAAGCCAGGGGAGCAAACGGGAUUAGAUACCCCAGUAGUCCUGGCCCUAAACGAUGAAUACUUGGUGUUUGGAUUCUCAAUGAUCCGAGUGCCGUAGCUAACGUGGUAAGUAUUCCGCCUGGGGAGUACGCUCGCAAGAGUGAAACUCAAGGAAUUGACGGGGACCCGCACAAGCGGUGGAGCAUGUGGUUUAAUUCGACGCAACGCGAAGAACCUUACCUGGACUAGAAUGCGAGGGAAUGUUGGGUAACGCCAACC